UACAGAGGGGGCAAGCGUUGUUCGGAAUUACUGGGCGUAAAGGGCGCGUAGGCGGCCUUCUAAGUCGAACGUGAAAUCCCCGGGCUCAACCCGGGAACUGCGUCCGAUACUGGAGGGCUUGAAUCCGGGAGAGGGAUGUGGAAUUCCAGGUGUGGCGGUGAAAUGCGUAGAUAUCUGGAGGAACACCGGUGGCGAAGGCGACAUCCUGGACCGGUAUUGACGCUGAGGCGCGAAAGCCAGGGGAGCAAACGGG
rnacentral:rRNA from 1 species